GGCUCGCCCCGCUGCGCGCCCCGCGCCCCGCCUCCGCGGCAGGUGUUAUUGUGACCCUUUUGAAGUACAAGCCGUUUGGUGCCCGGUGCUGCCCCGGCCCGCCUGGCGCGGAUGCGAUAUAUGGUGAGCGAUAUAACCGGGCUGCCUGACCGUCGUCUUCGCCAGGAGGGUGAUUCCGUACGGCGUUUUCUCUCCGUCCUUGUCGCACUCCGCUGCCACCAGGAGGGAGAGGGCACGCGUAAACACCGUGUGGGAUCGCCCUGCAGAUCUGUGGGCCUCGCUCGGCAUUCAAACGUCUUUUACUCCGAGCCUGUUUAGUCGGCACCGAUGUGUCACUAGCUAGCGCCCACGCGCCCGCGCGCCCGCCUAGGGCUCGCGCAGGGAAUGACCUCUGUGCCCCGCGCAGUCUGACAAUGCUACGCCCAAAGCAUUCGAUCGCGAAACGCGUGGUCUGCCCCCUUCGGUUUGUGUGUCCCCUCGUGUGCAUCGCCAGCAAGAAACCCAAGUGCAUCGCCAUCCAGAGGAGCCCACGACGUGUCCUCCGGCCGUCGACUCCCACCGCAUCCACCUGGGCGAGCGCUGAGGCGGCGGCGUUCGCAGCUGCUGCCGCCAAAGGUAGGCCUCGUCGUUCGCCGGAGUUUGUGUACAGACGCUUUUUGUUUGGUCGCUCCACUUCAGAGCUCCACCUCGCAGCCGAGUAUGGCGCCCUCUUAUUUAAAGCCCAGUACGGCACCUAAUUUCUUUCUAUAGUGUUUCAGGUCUACUUAGCGAUACUUAACUUUAUCAGGGGGCUACACUUCCCAAGGGCACUCAUCUCCAACACAACAAAGCUCGUUAAUGACUGCAUUGGCAUUGUCCAACAAUGCUCUCGAGUCCUUUCGCGCCGUUUGGUCCGCGUUCAUUUUCCGCGAUCGCUCGUCGAUGUUUAACUGAUUAUUUUCGCUUACGUCGGGAUCGGAAGCUAAAUUGGAUAAUUUCAUUUAAAGUUUUAUCAACCGCGAUAUCAUAUAAUUUAAAGAUUUUAUCAAACGCCAUAUCAUUUAUCAACCGUGAUUUAUUAUAUCCUAUUUUAAAUUUCAUAACUUAACGAAGACUUUGGAGAACAUUCUUCACUCUUUAAGGUCAGUCAUGUGUCCCAUUAGAGCGUCGUUAUGCUUUGUUUUUAGCCUAAUUUCCUGUAUGUUGUCCUAGCGCUAGCCUGGCCCCCGCUACUGUUUGCCUUCGUCUCGACUCGGACGCAGCCCUUUCUCAAGCUGCGAGCGAGCUGUCUGCCCGAGCCCGUCGCCUUGUGCUGCUGAGCUGUCUCCGCGUCUCGCACGCAGUCGCGGGGAAGCACCACCGCUGUCGGCCGCUACGGACUGCGCGACGCUGCCGCCGCCGCCCUUGCCGCAGUUUGACUUUAUGGGACUACCGAUCUGCUGUUCCAGUUAAUUUCACUCGUCUUGUUUUGAUUGUUUUGUGACUACACAUGAACUAAUUGUGUUGUGUUUAUGUUCCAGCCGACAUCUCAAGUUUGCUGUGACGAGCCCCUUCCUGGACUCUGCAGCGCUUAUGGCUGUGGUCAGCAGACUGCACAGCUGCCCCGGCCGUCGAGACCUCAGCCGCCUGGACUCCACCCCGGGAGAGCCAAGCAGUGCGUCACCACCAGGUCACCACGGCUUCGCCGCGGAGGGCCGCUCCCGUGUCUUCGUGGUCGUCUACAAAGUAACCGUGAGGCACGCCUGCACUCGUCAGCUGCUGCAACCGCCGGCCCCACGCCCCAGCGGGGCCUCCGCGGGACAUCCUCCCGCCAACGUUUCAGCUCCAGUAGAACGUUAUUCAAUUAUUUGGAGAUGUUCAGAUAUGCUCGUUUCUCCACUUGCUUCUCCAGUUCCAGUUCCACCCCAGUCAGCAGGAAUUCACUGCGGUCGGCGACCACAUCUCGAUUCCAGGACACUGUUGGACUCCACACCCCGACAUAGGUGUCUGCUAUCAACUCAGCUUCGCAAGUCUACCAGAGUAAUCGGGAAAGGUUGUUUCUUGGUGACGAUGCCUCAGAUUCCACAAACUCGCAGCCUGAACAGAAUUUGGUAUCUAAUUCUCUGAAACCCGCCACUUUAUGGAUUCCUUUGACUGCAUAAGAGUGUCAGUUCCAGGCCAGUUCCAGUUCCAACCCCGUCACCAUGCAUCAACCCACUUCGGUCAACUAAGGUAUCUCGACUCCAAGCCCUGCAGAAUCUCCAGGACUCUCCAACCUGAUAUUGGACUUUGCUUCUAACUCUGCUUUGCUGUCUCAGAGUAAUGAGGAAAGGUUCUUUCUUGGUGACCAUGCUGCAGGCUGACAGCUCCCACAACUCCAAAAAUUUGGUGCGAAAUUAUCUGGAACCCGCCACACUUUGGAUGCAUUGGCUGCAAUAGUAAGUUCGAGGCCAGUUCCAGUUCCACCCCCCGUCAACAGGAAUUCACUGUGGCCAGCGAAGACAUCUCAACCCUGGUACUCACAAGACCUGCAGGACUCUAUACCCCGGCAUCCGACAUUGCCUCCUGCUUCUAACUCUGCUUCGCUGUCUCCAAGAAUAACCAGGAAAGGUUAUUUCAAUGCUCUGCUCUGCCACCGAAUGGGAUCCUUCCACCUCCAAAUUUCAAGACACGCAAUUUAUUGUUGACCUUAUACUUCGCAAACAUUCAGCAUUUAAGUAUAGUCAAAGUGUUUGCAUACAAAUCUGUCCUUAUCUUUGAGUGUAGCAUUAAGGUGUUCAUUCACUUGGUAAUACGUUUGUCGCAUAUCAAUCUCUCUCUUGACUUGCUCUUCUUGACUGACUCCCCUUCUUUGUACAUCUUUGAGCAUGAUCACCUCAUUUUUUGGUUGUAGUUUUUGAAUUUAUUUUUUAGUUUGUUGCAUGUUUAGUGGUUGUGAAUGUGGGGUCUUGUGUAAAUUCCAUGUGGUUUACCUCUCCUAUGGCAUAACGAACUUAACAGUUCCACUUCUUUCUUCUGCGCAUUUAAAUAAUAUGCACAAACGUAUAUCAUCCAAUUUAAAUUAUGAGCUAUGCACUUUUCUAGAAUUUAUUUAUUAAUUUUCUCUAUGUUCAGUACUGUGUCAUUACUUCAGAGGCAAUUUUCUCUAGUUUUGUUUGUCUUGAUGUGGAUUUUUAGCCAGUUGGGCUCAAACUUUCAGUGAAGGCCUAUUCCUUUGUUAUUGCCAUUUUGCUAAUUGCGCUCUGCCUUCGUAUUUGAUUUAGCUAGGCUUGUUAUUGUUAAUCUAAUAACUCGUUGAUAGCCGUGUAGCAAUGUUAAUAUCAAAGGCCAAGAUUAGACUUUAUUGCCUUGUUAAUUAACUUGCUUCAUUUUACGGGAUUCCUAAACUUCUAGCAAUGUUAAGUCGUUUUCUAGGCAAAAGGCCGCAAUCCAUAGGGUUGCUUAUUUAAUUUUGUAUUGACUUAGCUAUCUUAUCUUUCAAAAAGGAAAGAUGUGUGCUACUCUGAUAGUUCUAUCCCCGGCAGAGUGCGCCCCACAGCAGUCAGCCUUUCCUUGUUUGUUGCCCUCACUUGUACCUGUCACUUCUGGUUUGGCUUUGGAGCA